GAGUUAUAUGCUAUAUCAUGUGAUUUCAUCUUGGGUUGAGGAUAUGGCUUGAUACAACUUGUUUAGACUUAUAUAGUAUGUAGAUGCGAGAUUCUGGCUUUAUGGAGAAUUUCGGACGUAAAAAUAUUGGUUCUAAGGCUUGUGGGUUAGGUUGGAUUAAGAAAUUUCAGUCAUGUUGUGUUAUCAUACCUAUAUGGGAUAGGAUGAUGUGUGAUCACCCCCGGAUAUGUGCAUAGUGAGGUUACACGAUGAUUUGAUUGCUUUUGGAAUAACUCUGGGCACGUUCGAGGACGAACGUAUAUUUAAGUGGGG
rnacentral:lncRNA from 1 species